GAUGAACGCUGGCGGCGUGCCUAAUACAUGCAAGUCGAGCGAAUGGAUUAAGAGCUUGCUCUUAUGAAGUUAGCGGCGGACGGGUGAGUAACACGUGGGUAACCUGCCCAUAGGACUGGGAUAACUCCGGGAAACCGGGGCUAAUACCGGAUAACAUUUUGAACCGCAUGGUUCGAAAUUGAAAGGCGGCUUCGGCUGUCACUUAUGGAUGGACCUGCGUCGCAUUAGCUAGUUGGGGAGGUAACGGCUCACCAAGGCAACGCUGCGUAGCCGACCUGAGAGGGUGAUCGGCCACACUGGGACUGAGACACGGCCCAGACUCCUACGGGAGGCAGCAGUAGGGAAUCUUCCGCAAUGGACGAAAGUCUGACGGAGCAACGCCGCGUGAGUGAUGAAGGCUUUCGGGUCGUAAAACUCUGUUGUUAGGGAAGAACAAGUGCUAGUUGAAUAAGCUGGCACCUUGACGGUACCUAACCAGAAAGCCACGGCUAACUACGUGCCAGCCGCCGCGGUAA
rnacentral:rRNA from 1 species